rnacentral:rRNA from 1 species
CAGUUCGGUCCCUAUCUGCCGUGGGCGCUGGAGAACUGAGGGGGGCUGCUCCUAGUACGAGAGGACCGGAGUGGACGCAUCACUGGUGUUCGGGUUGUCAUGCCAAUGGCACUGCCCGGUAGCUAAAUGCGGAAGAGAUAAGUGCUGAAAGCAUCUAAGCACGAAACUUGCCCCGAGAUGAGUUCUCCCUGACUCCUUGAGAGUCCUGAAGGAACGUUGAAGACGACGACGUUGAUAGGCCGGGUGUGUAAGCGCAGCGAUGCGUUGAGCUAACCGGUACUAAUGAACCGUGAGGCUUAACCUUACAACGCCGAAGCUGUU